CGCCGCUCUGGGUUUGGAACAUCCUGUGGCCUUGAUGGAUGCCAAAACCCCCCGAAUUGUCAUAAGGAAGCCAUGUCUAGCCACCCCCGCCCGCCAAUACUCAGCUGCCCAAGGCACGCAUGAUCGAGGCGGGAGAAGUGGUGAGUACCCCGCAACAGCAAAAAAGUGUCGAAGUUACAAGCAUUGCGAGUACUAUGGAGGAAUUCGUGCCAUCAUUGUCGCUAAAGGCCAAGGACGCCACAAAGACCGAAUUGAUUGAAGAUUCGAUGAUGAAUUUGAGCGUGCUGAAGUAUAUGAGGGAUCAGUUAAAGGAUUUGUACAAUUAUACCAAUAAACUGGCCGAGCAGUCCUAGGAGAAGUCUGAAGAGCUCAAGGCUGUGGAGAAUGUGCUCCAUUGGUUUAAUAUGGUCAAGGCCAAGUAUUCUCAAGUGAAGUUGGAUAACGUUGGGCUUUCCAGGAAACUCGUGGAAUCCAGGCUUAACUUAAAAAAGAAUUCCGAGAUCGAGGACAAGAACAAAGAAUUCACGCAGAAAUAGAGAGAUCAAGUCCUUGGCUGAAGAGAAGGAUAGGAAGGACAAAGAGCUUGAGGAGGUGAAGGGGGCAGCACAAGUACAGUCGUUGACUAGUGGAUCCACCAGAGGAAGGAGUCAUCAGCAAGAAGACCCUAUUAGAGCGUCUCCAUGGAGCCCCGUAGAGAAUCGUUAGCUUCAUCUCCAGAACAACCAAGACUUACGUUGCAUCCAUCCUUGGCCUCCUCAAGUCUUGGUACUCAAAGGUUGAUGUGAUUCCACUAGUUGACGGUAUGGCCGGCGACUGUUCUGAUGAGAAGUUUGCCGUCUACUUUGAAGAAGUUCAACUGAUGGCUCACAGAAAAAAAACAGUUGAAAACUUAGAGAAGGAGUGAAGGAUAAUAUAAUCAAUUCGUCCACUUUGUUACUCUUGUAUUUGAUGUGUAAUAUAUGUUUGG